GCCCUUGUGGUCUAGCGGUAUGAUUCUUCCUUAGGGCGAAAGCGCGAACCAGGUUCGAUCCCUGGCAAGGGCC
rnacentral:tRNA from 1 species